AGAACCAUUGAUUAUCCGACGCAUUUUAAUAAAUUGUGCAACCUUCAAAAGGUUUAAGCACAUUCAUUCAAACAGCUUUAACUUAGAUUUUUUAUUAGAUGAUAUAUUCACAUUUUAACAUCUUGAAGUACUUGGAGGUCAUCUGCGUUUCAGGUUACUUCAUAUUUGUUAUUAUAUAUGUUCCUUCAUCAUGGACAUCUUAUAUAGAAAACUCGAAACAAAAGGUACCUCAGGAAACUGGAAAGUGCGAAUUUCUCUUUAAAAGGUAAGAGAAAUAGCAUGCCUCUAAAAAACACCUUAGAAACAUUCCCUGUUCUGCCAAUCAAAUAAACAUGUGCUUGGAC